CCUACGGGUGGUAGCAGUGAGGAAUAUUGGUCAAUGGGCGAGAGCCUGAACCAGCCAUGCCGCGUGCAGGAAGACGGCUCUAUGAGUUGUAAACUGCUUUUGUACGAGGGUAAAUCCCGAUACGUGUAUCGGGUUGAAAGUAUCGUACGAAUAAGGAUCGGCUAACUCCGUGCCAGCAGCCGCGGUAAUACGGAGGAUUCAAGCGUUAUCCGGAUUCAUUGGGUUUAAAGGGUGCGCAGGCGGGCCUUUAAGCCGGCGGUGAAAUCGCGGGGCUCAACCCCGCCGAGCCGUCGGAACUGGGGGCCUUGAGUGCGGCGGAGGCAUGCGGAAUGCGCGGUGUAGCGGUGAAAUGCAUAGAUAUCGCGCAGAACCCCGAUUGCGAAGGCAGCGUGCCGUGCCGCCACUGACGCUGAGGCACGAAAGCGCGGGGAUCGAACAGGAUUAGAUACCCGGGUAGUC
rnacentral:rRNA from 1 species